rnacentral:lncRNA from 1 species
UGGGAACUGGGACACAAACACAGGUCCCAGGGCCAAACUCACUGCCCUCCCCGUUCUCCAGCACGGUGCUGUUUCCUUCAUUUAGAGUGAAACGCUCAUGUGCAGUGGAUGCUGUGGUGCUCCACCUCCAAUCCCUCUUCAGGUCCGGUGCCCUGUCCUCCAGAUGCUGGGCACACUGCCUGCCGAUUUUCACAGCUGCACCCCUCUCUGGGAACUGUGGACAAGUGAAGGGCCAACCCUGCUCCAGAGCUCCCUGCAGGAUCCGGAAAGCUGCCAGGUUUGGGACGCCUGGAGUGAGAGGCAGCUCCACAAGCGCAGUUGCUGUGCAAGCUGCUCUUCCACUGUGGCCACAGAAUCCAGCAGAUGUGAAGGCACUAUGCUUAUCAGUGGACUUUCCAAGUUGGAGGCCUCACUGUUGCUUCAAGUGUGGUAUGGCAGCACCCAUCUGCUGUGUCCAUCUACACUUUAUUAUAUAUCUAUGCACCUCAUCAGGGAAGCACGGGAACCCGCAGGCACUGCUAGUAGGAAGGCAAGCUGGCCUGGCCAUUCUGGAGAAGAACAUGGCAGUAUACUCAGUCACAUUCCAGUCGCACAGCCUGUGAUUUGGGUAUGCAUCAUGGAUAAAUGUUCAUUGUAGUGUUAUUUAGGAAAUCCAGGAGCUGGAGAUGGAAAGCAAUGUGCUUGAACUAGGUAGGAUGUAUACAGCUCAAAUGGGCCAACUGUUAAAUUUUCAGGAAUUUGGUGAGCUAGUUUUUAUACCCCG